GAGCCCCGCCCACUCUGGCACUUUCCUUCCAAAGUGUAAAUCUCCUGACGUCCCUUCCUUACAAUUCUUCCUUGGCUUGCCAAUGGCUGCAGAAGGAAACCCAUUACAAUGGCAGCCCAAGCCAUUUACAAGCUGAACUCCAAACACCUGCCCAUCUUCCAUCCAGAAGUUCUAUUUUCUGGCUGAGAUCAGCUCACCCUGCACCUCACCUACUCCAAAUCACCUAUCCUCCUCCAACUAUGGCUCACUUUUCCAAGUUCCUGGGACCUCAGGUCUGGACAGGAUCUUAAAAUCUCACGUCAAGGGAUGGCAUCCUGAGUUUUCUCUGAAGACAGCAUAAGAAAUUCACAGUUUUAAAAACUGUCGUUUCCUAGUAGUUUUAUCCUUAGCAAAUGUCAGUAUGAGAAUUCUUCACAAAUGUUUAUAUUCAUUCAUUUUUGGUUAGGACAUCAAGAAGAAAACAAUAUGCCAAAAAAGUGACUCUAUUAAGUUAGUGUAAAGUCUUCUCCGGUACCCAUGUGAUGUAAUAUUUAUUUUAGUUUUUUGACGAGGCUGAGUGGCUUCCUUAGAGAAAGCUGGGAUUAUAAGGGGCUUAAGAGUUGGCAUUGGGGCCCAUCUUCUUGCCAAAGCCCAGGUCAGGGAACCACGACCUUGACCUCCAAGCACGCAGUCUGCUGCUUCCAGGGUGUCAGAGGCUCCACUCCACCCCAGGCUGUCUCAGCCUCUAGGGCCAACCAGGAGAACGGUUUGAGCUUCUGGAGCGAUGCCACGCUACCUGAUCUUCAGCCCAGGGACUAACCAUCUCCUGCCAGUCACCUCAAGGGUGUGCCGCUCCCAGGCGUAGACCACACACUGCACAUGCGCGACUAAACCGCGCGGCCACCGCAGCUGCCGCCACGAUGAUGGAGGCGAAAGAGCUCAUGUGACAUCAUGUUUAGCUACAAAUGUCCUCAGCCAGCACCCUCCUGCAGCUCCUUGUUCUAUUUCUAAGAAGAUCCAAGUGCUCCUCCAAGCCCUUCACCCCCUCCUCAGGGUCACACUACCUCCCUUCCUGGACCUCCUCCCUAGGGAUCCUUCUCACCCGGCACUCUUUGCAAUAAAGCUUGCAAAUCUCCCAAACACAGCUUGCUUACUCUUUUCUUUCUGCAGUCCUCAUCAUUCCAUUUUUA
ensembl:lncRNA